rnacentral:tRNA from 1 species
GUCUCGGAUAGCUUAACUGUUAGAGCCUUUGGCGCGUAAAUCAAACGAUCCGGGUUCGAGUCCCGGUCUGGGCU